AAGUCGUAACAAGGUCUCCGUAGGUGAACCUGCGGAGGGAUCAUUAACACAAACAAAAAGACAAAGUAGACUACUGCACAUGUGCAACUAGUCGCACUUUUCUUUUGUAACCAACCCGUGAACGAAACUAUAUGCCCCUGACUGCUUAGCUGUGCGUUCAGUUCAGCUAAGUGUGUUUUUUAUACUGUAUCUAUUGUUUUAUACAAACCAUCAUACCAACAGUUGUAACGUAAGUCAUGGCUUUUAAGCUAUGUACUGAUCUAUAACCAAUAUAAAGCACAACUCUUAGCAACGGAUAUCUCGGUUCUC
rnacentral:misc_RNA from 1 species